rnacentral:rRNA from 1 species
UUAAGCGACUAAGCGUACACGGUGGAUGCCCUGGCAGUCAGAGGCGAUGAAGGACGUGCUAAUCUGCGAUAAGCGUCGGUAAGGUGAUAUGAACCGUUAUAACCGGCGAUUUCCGAAUGGGGAAACCCAGUGUGAUUCGUCACACUAUCAUUAACUGAAUCCAUAGGUUAAUGAGGCGAACCGGGGGAACUGAAACAUCUAAGUACCCCGAGGAAAAGAAAUCAACCGAGAUUCCCCCAGUAGCGGCGAGCGAACGGGGAGCAGCCCAGAGCCUGAAUCAGUGUGUGUGUUAGUGGAAGCGUCUGGAAAGGCGCGCGAUACAGGGUGACAGCCCCGUACACAAAAAUGCACAUACUGUGAGCUCGAUGAGUAGGCGGGACACGUGGUAUCCUGUCUGAAUAUGGGGGGACCAUCCUCCAAGGCUAAAUACUCCUGACUGACCGAUAGUGAACCAGUACCGUGAGGGAAAGGCGAAAAGAACCCGGCGAGGGGAGUGAAAAAGAACCUGAAACCGUGUACGUACAAGCAGUGGGAGCACAGAGCAAUCUGUGUGACUGCGUACCUUUUGUAUAAUGGGGUCAGCGACUUAUAUUCUGUAGCAAGGUUAACCGAAUAGGGGAGCCGAAGGGAAACCGAGUCUUAACUGGGCGUUAAGUUGCAGGGUAUAGACCCGAACCCGGUGAUCUAGCCAUGGGCAGGUUGAAGGUUGGGUAACACUAACUGGAGGACCGAACCGACUAAUGUUGAAAAAUUAGCGGAUGACUUGUGGCUGGGGGUGAAAGGCCAAUCAAACCGGGAGAUAGCUGGUUCUCCCCGAAAGCUAUUUAGGUAGCGCCUCGUGAAUUCAUCUCCGGGGGUAGAGCACUGUUUCGGCAAGGGGGUCAUCCCGACUUACCAACCCGAUGCAAACUGCGAAUACCGGAGAAUGUUAUCACGGGAGACACACGGCGGGUGCUAACGUCCGUCGUGAAGAGGGAAACAACCCAGACCGCCAGCUAAGGUCCCAAAGUCAUGGUUAAGUGGGAAACGAUGUGGGAAGGCCCAGACAGCCAGGAUGUUGGCUUAGAAGCAGCCAUCAUUUAAAGAAAGCGUAAUAGCUCACUGGUCGAGUCGGCCUGCGCGGAAGAUGUAACGGGGCUAAACCAUGCACCGAAGCUGCGGCAGCGACGCUUAUGCGUUGUUGGGUAGGGGAGCGUUCUGUAAGCCUGUGAAGGUGUACUGUGAGGUAUGCUGGAGGUAUCAGAAGUGCGAAUGCUGACAUAAGUAACGAUAAAGCGGGUGAAAAGCCCGCUCGCCGGAAGACCAAGGGUUCCUGUCCAACGUUAAUCGGGGCAGGGUGAGUCGACCCCUAAGGCGAGGCCGAAAGGCGUAGUCGAUGGGAAACAGGUUAAUAUUCCUGUACUUGGUGUUACUGCGAAGGGGGGACGGAGAAGGCUAUGUUGGCCGGGCGACGGUUGUCCCGGUUUAAGCGUGUAGGCUGGUUUUCCAGGCAAAUCCGGAAAAUCAAGGCUGAGGCGUGAUGACGAGGCACUACGGUGCUGAAGCAACAAAUGCCCUGCUUCCAGGAAAAGCCUCUAAGCAUCAGGUAACAUCAAAUCGUACCCCAAACCGACACAGGUGGUCAGGUAGAGAAUACCAAGGCGCUUGAGAGAACUCGGGUGAAGGAACUAGGCAAAAUGGUGCCGUAACUUCGGGAGAAGGCACGCUGAUAUGUAGGUGAAGUCCCUCGCGGAUGGAGCUGAAAUCAGUCGAAGAUACCAGCUGGCUGCAACUGUUUAUUAAAAACACAGCACUGUGCAAACACGAAAGUGGACGUAUACGGUGUGACGCCUGCCCGGUGCCGGAAGGUUAAUUGAUGGGGUUAGCGCAAGCGAAGCUCUUGAUCGAAGCCCCGGUAAACGGCGGCCGUAACUAUAACGGUCCUAAGGUAGCGAAAUUCCUUGUCGGGUAAGUUCCGACCUGCACGAAUGGCGUAAUGAUGGCCAGGCUGUCUCCACCCGAGACUCAGUGAAAUUGAACUCGCUGUGAAGAUGCAGUGUACCCGCGGCAAGACGGAAAGACCCCGUGAACCUUUACUAUAGCUUGACACUGAACAUUGAGCCUUGAUGUGUAGGAUAGGUGGGAGGCUUUGAAGUGUGGACGCCAGUCUGCAUGGAGCCGACCUUGAAAUACCACCCUUUAAUGUUUGAUGUUCUAACGUUGACCCGUGAUCCGGGUUGCGGACAGUGUCUGGUGGGUAGUUUGACUGGGGCGGUCUCCUCCUAAAGAGUAACGGAGGAGCACGAAGGUUGGCUAAUCCUGGUCGGACAUCAGGAGGUUAGUGCAAUGGCAUAAGCCAGCUUGACUGCGAGCGUGACGGCGCGAGCAGGUGCGAAAGCAGGUCAUAGUGAUCCGGUGGUUCUGAAUGGAAGGGCCAUCGCUCAACGGAUAAAAGGUACUCCGGGGAUAACAGGCUGAUACCGCCCAAGAGUUCAUAUCGACGGCGGUGUUUGGCACCUCGAUGUCGGCUCAUCACAUCCUGGGGCUGAAGUAGGUCCCAAGGGUAUGGCUGUUCGCCAUUUAAAGUGGUACGCGAGCUGGGUUUAGAACGUCGUGAGACAGUUCGGUCCCUAUCUGCCGUGGGCGCUGGAGAACUGAGGGGGGCUGCUCCUAGUACGAGAGGACCGGAGUGGACGCAUCACUGGUGUUCGGGUUGUCAUGCCAAUGGCACUGCCCGGUAGCUAAAUGCGGAAGAGAUAAGUGCUGAAAGCAUCUAAGCACGAAACUUGCCCCGAGAUGAGUUCUCCCUGACUCCUUGAGAGUCCUGAAGGAACGUUGAAGACGACGACGUUGAUAGGCCGGAUGUGUAAGCGCAGCGAUGCGUUGAGCUAACCGGUACUAAUGAACCGUGAGGCUUAACCU